CACAAACGAAUUCAGACAUGACAGUCACGAUCUUUUUUGACGCACAUCUACGGUCCUUCGUGAAACUGGCACCAAUGGUGAUAAAUUGGUUGUACUGCUGAGUUCCCAUCAUCACCAGCCCGGUGGCAAUGAUAAGGCGCUCCAGCAAGUGCUAUCGUAACCAACAUCUCGGUCCUUGGGGCCUUCAAAGCUAGCAAGUCAGUGAGAGUAAAGUAAACAAAAUGGAGUAAAAUACAACACAUCAUCGCAUAUGAAAACCUUUUUUGAAAUCUUGUAAGGUAGUUUUGAAAGAAUAUUUGUUGAAUUAUAUGAAAAAGAGUGCUGACGAUGCAUAUUGCCAGAAAUGGUGUAGCAGGAGGAAGAUUAGGCAUCGAAAUUCACAAAAUGGAAUGAAAAUCAAACAGUUGAAUAGGCAGCAAGUUCUAUUUCUCUUUUCUAAAUAAUCUUCAUUAUCAGAAUAACGGGUAAUGUGAAGUGAAUAAAGCAUUAACCACAAAACCGAAGAGUGCAGAUUUUCAAAACCAAUGUGUGUCUAAGCAACUAUAGAAUAAUGAAUUGUUUGGAGGGUAAGCUAUAGUUUGAUGAGUAUCUAGAUCCCAGGAAGUAGCAAACGGUUGUCGUCGACAUAGAACAUAUUGUGAACAAUUUCCAUAGCCACUAUAUUACAUCAUCAAUAUAAUAAAUAUGAAUUUCCAUUAGUUUUGAAAGUAAAGUGAAAUGCAAUACAAGGA